CCAAUUUUGAGUUCCUUAAGAGCAGGCAAGGGCAAUGUCCUAGAUUUAUGUUUUAGUUCCUUACUAAACACAAAUCUUUUUGUGUGGUGAAAGAAAUGAAAAGCAAGACAUUGGAAAUGGCUUCUUCCUUAUCUGUCUGACACUCCCCCAAAUCUACUGGGGGAGAAGGAGUCACACCUCUCUGGAGACCAGCAGGCAGAAGCUCAGUGCGAGGUAUCUGGGGCACCACCCCUGGAGCCAUCAGCUGUGUCUGUGGGGCACUCGAGGACAGCAGGACUGUUACAGGCUGUGUCACCCUUGAAAUAAAAGUAGCCUCAGGAUUUGGAACAACCCAAGCAAGCACGAAGCCUGGCCUGGGGGGUGAGACAAGAUUAUAUCCACCCUUCUGGUUCACACAGCCCUCACUAGAGCUACUCAAGGACAACGUUUCAUCCACAUCUGCACCUUGAAGCCUCUGGUUGGAGGAAGGCGGUCUUUUUCAUUACUUAAGAAUACACAAUCCAAGCCUCUGGUUAAGGUAUGAUGAAAACUUGUGGCAAGUCUUCCAGCAGUACUGGUCUCCUACAUCAUCUCACUUAUCUCAUGCAGCUGGUAUCUAAGGAACUAAGAGGUCCAGGAGAUCAGUUAGUCUCAAAAUUCAGUUCAUCCAGAAGUGCACCAAGAGGAAACGAAGUUUCAAAAAUAUGGCUGGAUUAUUUCUUAAACAAUAAUAUAAAGCAAAAGAAGCACAGGAAAUGUUUGCAGGAUCUCAUUCCUUCCUAAUUAUUAAGACCUGAAACCUAUAUUGAAGAAAACCAGUCAUGGAUAAGAAAAUCACUUCUUCACAGCGGUUAAAGGAAAAAGUACCCAAAGAAAUAAAUGAACAUAUGAA